rnacentral:rRNA from 1 species
AUGGGAGGGGCUUGGGUACAAUUCCGAAUACGCUAUUAUAUGUUUGCGCUUGUUUUUGUUGUUUUUGAUGUGGAAACCGUCUUUCUAUACCCUUGGGCAAUGAGUUUCGACGUAUUGGGUGUAUCCGUUUUUAUCGAAGCUUUGAUUUUCGUGCUUAUCUUAGUUGUUGGUUUAGUUUAUGCAUGGCGAAAAGGAGCCUUGGAAUGGUCUUAA